rnacentral:rRNA from 1 species
UACGGGGGGGGCAAGCGUUGUUCGGAAUUACUGGGCGUAAAGGGCUCGUAGGCGGUCAACUAAGUCAGACGUGAAAUCCCUCGGCUUAACCGGGGAACUGCGUCUGAUACUGGAUGGCUUGAGUUUGGGAGAGGGAUGCGGAAUUCCAGGUGUAGCGGUGAAAUGCGUAGAUAUCUGGAGGAACACCGGUGGCGAAGGCGGCGUCCUGGACCAACACUGACGCUGAGGAGCGAAAGCCAGGGGAGCAAACGGG